UCCUAUGGGUAAGCAAAGAAAGUGGUUUCUUGAGAUGGAAUCAACUCUUGGUGAAGAUACUUUGAA
rnacentral:pre_miRNA from 1 species